GACGAACGCUGGCGGCGUGCUUAACACAUGCAAGUCGAACGGAAAGGCCCUGCGUUUGUGGGUUGCUCGAUUGGCGAACGGGUGAGUAACACGUGAGUAACCUGCCCUUGACUUUGGGAUAACUUCAGGAAACUCGGGCUAAUACCGGAUAGGAUCUCCUGCUGCAUGGUGGGGGUUGGAAAGUUUCGGCGGUUUGGGAUGGUCUCGAGGCUUAUCAGCUUGUUGGUGAGGUAGUGACUUACCAAGGGUUUGACGGCUAGCCGGCCUGAGAGGGUGAACGGCCUCCUUGGGACUGAGAUACGGCCCAGAAGGCUACGGGAGGCAGAAGGGGGGAAUAUUACAGAGUGGGCGGAAGCGUGAGGCAGCAACGCCGCGUGCGGGAUGACGGGCUUCGGGUUGUAAACCGCUUUCGACUGUGACGAAGCGUGAGUGACGGUAAUGGGUAAGGAAGCAACGGCUAACUACGUG
rnacentral:rRNA from 1 species